rnacentral:rRNA from 1 species
UAGGGAAUAUUGGUCAAUGGGUGAGAGCCUGAACCAGCCAUGCCGCGUGCAGGAAGAAGGCCUUCUGGGUUGUAAACUGCUUUUGCCGGGGGAUAAAAGACCCUUGCGAGGGAAAUUGAAGGUACCUGGUGAAUAAGCCACGGCUAACUACGUGCCAGCAGCCGCGGUAAUACGUAGGUGGCAAGCGUUGUCCGGAUUUAUUGGGUUUAAAGGGUGCGUAGGCGGUUGAUUAAGUCAGUUGUGAAAUACGGCAGCUUAACUGUCGAGGUGCAAUUGAUACUGGUUGACUUGAGUACAGACGAGGUAGGCGGAAUUGACGGUGUAGCGGUGAAAUGCAUAGAUAUCGUCAAGAACACCGAUAGCGAAGGCAGCUUACUAGACUGUAACUGACGCUGAGGCACGAAAGUGUGGGGAUCAAACAGGAUUAGAUACCCCCGUAGUCC